UACGUAGGGUGCGAGCGUUGUCCGGAAUUACUGGGCGUAAAGAGCUCGUAGGCGGUGUGUCGCGUCGGCCGUGAAAACCUGCAGCUUAACUGUGGGCGUGCGGUCGAUACGGGCAUCACUGGAGUUCGGCAGGGGAGACUGGAAUUCCUGGUGUAGCGGUGAAAUGCGCAGAUAUCAGGAGGAACACCGGUGGCGAAGGCGGGUCUCUGGGCCGAUACUGACGCUGAGGAGCGAAAGCGUGGGGAUCAAACAGG
rnacentral:rRNA from 1 species